rnacentral:rRNA from 1 species
CAGGUGGUGCAUGGUUGUCGUCAGCUCGUGCCGUGAGGUGUAAGGUUAAGUCCUUGAACGAGCGCAACCCACGUCGUAUUUGCCACGGAGCAAUCCAGCUACUAUAACGAUACCGCCGGCGACGAGCCGGAGGAAGGCGUGGACGACGUCAAAUCAUCACGCCCCUUAUGUCCAGGGCUACACACAUGCGACAAUGGUCGGAACAAUGAGUUGCCAAGCAGUAAUGCGGAGCUAAUCUCCAAAGCCGGCCUCAGUACAGAUCGAGGGUUGCAACCCACCCUCGUGAAGAUGGAGUUGCUAGUAAACGCAAGUCAGCUAUAUUGCGUUGAAUACGUUCCCGGGUAUU